UACGAAGGGGGCUAGCGUUGUUCGGAAUUACUGGGCGUAAAGCGUAUGCAGGCGGAUCGUUAAGUCGGGGGUGAAAUCCCGAGGCUCAACCUCGGAACUGCCUUCGAUACUGGCGAUCUUGAGUCCGGGAGAGGUGAGUGGAACUCCGAGUGUAGAGGUGAAAUUCGUAGAUAUUCGGAAGAACACCAGUGGCGAAGGCGGCUCACUGGCCCGGUACUGACGCUGAGAUACGAAAGCGUGGGGAGCGAACAGG
rnacentral:rRNA from 1 species